ACGAACGCUGGCGGCGUGCCUAAUACAUGCAAGUCGAACGCUUCUUUUUCCACCGGAGCUUGCUCCACCGGAAAAAGAGGAGUGGCGAACGGGUGAGUAACACGUGGGUAACCUGCCCAUCAGAAGGGGAUAACACUUGGAAACAGGUGCUAAUACCGUAUAACAAUCGAAACCGCAUGGUUUUGAUUUGAAAGGCGCUUUCGGGUGUCGCUGAUGGAUGGACCCGCGGUGCAUUAGCUAGUUGGUGAGGUAACGGCUCACCAAGGCGACGAUGCAUAGCCGACCUGAGAGGGUGAUCGGCCACAUUGGGACUGAGACACGGCCCAAACUCCUACGGGAGGCAGCAGUAGGGAAUCUUCGGCAAUGGACGAAAGUCUGACCGAGCAACGCCGCGUGAGUGAAGAAGGUUUUCGGAUCGUAAAACUCUGUUGUUAGAGAAGAACAAGGAUGAGAGUAACUGUUCAUCCCUUGACGGUAUCUAACCAGGAAGCCACGGCUAACUACGUGCCAGCAGCCGCGGUAAUACGUAGGUGGCAAGCGUUGUCCGGAUUUAUUGGGCGUAAAGCGAGCGCAGGCGGUUUCUUAAGUCUGAUGUGAAAGCCCCCGGCUCAACCGGGGAGGGUCAUUGGAAACUGGGAGACUUGAGUGCAGAAGAGGAGAGUGGAAUUCCAUGUGUAGCGGUGAAAUGCGUAGAUAUAUGGAGGAACACCAGUGGCGAAGGCGGCUCUCUGGUCUGUAACUGACGCUGAGGCUCGAAAGCGUGGGGAGCAAACAGGAUUAGAUACCCUGGUAGUCCACGCCGUAAACGAUGAGUGCUAAGUGUUGGAGGGUUUCCGCCCUUCAGUGCUGCAGCUAACGCAUUAAGCACUCCGCCUGGGGAGUACGACCGCAAGGUUGAAACUCAAAGGAAUUGACGGGGGCCCGCACAAGCGGUGGAGCAUGUGGUUUAAUUCGAAGCAACGCGAAGAACCUUACCAGGUCUUGACAUCCUUUGACCACUCUAGAGAUAGAGCUUCCCCUUCGGGGGCAAAGUGACAGGUGGUGCAUGGUUGUCGUCAGCUCGUGUCGUGAGAUGUUGGGUUAAGUCCCGCAACGAGCGCAACCCUUAUUGUUAGUUGCCAUCAUUUAGUUGGGCACUCUAGCAAGACUGCCGGUGACAAACCGGAGGAAGGUGGGGAUGACGUCAAAUCAUCAUGCCCCUUAUGACCUGGGCUACACACGUGCUACAAUGGGAAGUACAACGAGUCGCAAAGUCGCGAGGCUAAGCUAAUCUCUUAAAGCUUCUCUCAGUUCGGAUUGUAGGCUGCAACUCGCCUACAUGAAGCCGGAAUCGCUAGUAAUCGCGGAUCAGCACGCCGCGGUGAAUACGUUCCCGGGCCUUGUACACACCGCCCGUCACACCACGAGAGUUUGUAACACCCGAAGUCGGUGAGGUAACCUUUUGGAGCCAGCCGCCUAAGGUGGGAUAGAUGAUUGGGGUG
rnacentral:rRNA from 1 species